rnacentral:rRNA from 1 species
ACACUCCUACGGGAGGCAGCAGUGGGGAAUUUUGGACAAUGGGCGCAAGCCUGAUCCAGCCAUGCCGCGUGCGGGAAGAAGGCCUUCGGGUUGUAAACCGCUUUUGUCAGGGAAGAAAAGGUUCUGGCUAAUACCUGGGACUCAUGACGGUACCUGAAGAAUAAGCACCGGCUAACUACGUGCCAGCAGCCGCGGUAAUACGUAGGGUGCAAGCGUUAAUCGGAAUUACUGGGCGUAAAGCGUGCGCAGGCGGUUAUGCAAGACAGAGGUGAAAUCCCCGGGCUCAACCUGGGAACUGCCUUUGUGACUGCAUGGCUAGAGUACGGUAGAGGGGGAUGGAAUUCCGCGUGUAGCAGUGAAAUGCGUAGAUAUGCGGAGGAACACCGAUGGCGAAGGCAAUCCCCUGGACCUGUACUGACGCUCAUGCACGAAAGCGUGGGGAGCAAACAGGAUUAGAUACCCUGGUAGUCCC